rnacentral:rRNA from 1 species
GAUGAACGCUGGCGGCGUGCCUAAUACAUGCAAGUCGAGCGAACAGACGAGGAGCUUGCUCCUCUGACGUUAGCGGCGGACGGGUGAGUAACACGUGGAUAACCUACCUAUAAGACUGGGAUAACUUCGGGAAACCGGAGCUAAUACCGGAUAAUAUAUUGAACCGCAUGGUUCAAUAGUGAAAGACGGUUUUGCUGUCACUUAUAGAUGGAUCUGCGCCGCAUUAGCUAGUUGGUAAGGUAACGGCUUACCAAGGCGACGAUGCGUAGCCGACCUGAGAGGGUGAUCGGCCACACUGGAACGGAGACACGGUCCAGACUCCUACGGGAGGCAGCAGUAGGGAAUCUUCCGCAAUGGGCGAAAGCCUGACGGAGCAACGCCGCGUGAGUGAUGAAGGUCUUCGGAUCGUAAAACUCUGUUAUUAGGGAAGAACAAAUGUGUAAGUAACUAUGCACGUCUUGACGGUACCUAAUCAGAAAGCCACGGCUAACUACGUG